rnacentral:tRNA from 1 species
UAGCUCAGCGGCAUAAGCGCCUGCCUUGCAAGCAGGCAGUCGUGAGUUCGAUCCCCGC